rnacentral:rRNA from 1 species
AGCAGCCGCGGUAAUUCCAGCUUCAAUAGCGUAUAUUAAAGUUGUUGCAGUUAAAAAGCUUGUAGUUGAAUUUCGGGAUUUGUCCACUGGUCGGGCCUCAGGUCCGUACUGGUGUGAUGGGUUCCUACCUUCUGAAUUACCAGCAUGCCAUUUAGUUGGUGCGCCGGGGAAGCAGAGCUAUUGCCUUGAAAAAAUUAGAGUGCUUAAAGCAGGCUAUUUGCUUGAAUAGAUUAGCAUGGAAUAAUAAAAUAGGACGGCAUGGUUCUAUUUUGUUGGUUUCUAGGAUCACCGUAAUGAUUAAUAGGGAUAGUUGGGGGCAUUAGUAUUCAAUUGUCAGAGGUGAAAUUCUUGGAUUUAU